CCUUCGAUAGCUCAGCUGGAAGAGCGUGAGACUGUAAUUGGAUUACGUAAUCAUUAUCUCAAGGUCGCUGGUUCGAACCCGGCUCGAAGGA